rnacentral:rRNA from 1 species
UACGAAGGGGGCUAGCGUUGUUCGGAUUUACUGGGCGUAAAGCGCACGUAGGCGGAUCGUUAAGUCGGGGGUGAAAUCCUGGAGCUCAACUCCAGAACUGCCUUUGAUACUGAGGAUCUUGAGUUCGGGAGAGGUGAGUGGAACUGCGAGUGUAGAGGUGAAAUUCGUAGAUAUUAGGAAGAACACCAGUGGCGAAGGCGGCUUACUGGUCCGGAACUGACGCUGAGGUGCGAAAGCGUGGGGAGCAAACAGG